UGACGAGGAAUUUAUGUAUUUGGAGAGACAACAAGCGAAAAAAUAUCGACAAGAGGACUUUUCAGCGGCACGACAAGCUGCCAAC
rnacentral:ribozyme from 1 species